rnacentral:rRNA from 1 species
AUGAACCUAACGAACCGGCUAACCAACGCAGCUACGAGCGAGCUUGCUGCCUUGUCGUUGCUGUUGCAGGGUUUCCAACUCUCUGACGGACAUGAUGAGCGCCACCAGACGCAUGCUGAUGGCUUCACCUCCAGAGCUGCCUGCAACAUUCUCAAGCAUGAAUAUCAGGAAGACGAUCACGCAGCCCUAAUCUGGCGUUCAAGGUCACCGCACAAGCUAAAGAUCUUCGGUUGGCUGCUGUUUAGAGGCAGGCUAAAAACAGGAGCAAAUCUAUUCCACAAAAAAUCAGCACUGAUGCUAACUGUCCACGACGUUCUUGCCCAACUGAAGACACGCCGCAUCUCUUCAUCACCUGCCAGAAGCUUCAAAUGUGUGGCUGCAGCUAGGUCUCACCACGACGCCGAGAUUCCAAGACCUCUGGCUAGCUGA